rnacentral:rRNA from 1 species
GACGAACGCUGGCGGCGUGCUUAACACAUGCAAGUCGAACGCCCUUGACCUUCGGGUCGUAUAAGGGAGUGGCGAACGGGUGAGUAACACGUGAGAAACCUACCUUAAAGUUCGGAAUAAGCCGAGGAAACUUGGUCUAAUACCGGAUGCCUUGCAUUUGUCGAAUGGCAGAUGCAAGAAAGAUUUAUCGCUUUAAGAGGGUCUCGCGGUCUAUCAGCUUGUUGGUGAGGUAAAGGCUCACCAAGGCAAUGACGGAUAGCUAGUCUGAGAGGACGAUUAGCCACACUGGAACUGAGAUACGGUCCAGACUCCUACGGGAGGCAGCAGUCGGGAAUAUUGCACAAUGGACGAAAGUCUGAUGCAGCGACGCCGCGUGGGGGAUGAAGGCCUUAGGGUCGUAAACCCCUUUCAGUGGGGACGAAAAUGACGGUACCCACAGAAGAAGCCCCGGCCAACUACG